rnacentral:rRNA from 1 species
AGCUCCAAUAGCGUAUAUUAAAGUUGUUGCGGUUAAAAAGCUCGUAGUUGGAUUUCUGUUGAGGAUGGGCGGUCCGCACUUUGUGCGUGUAUCUGUUACAGCCUCGGCAUCCUCUUGAAGAACGGUGCUGUGAUUCAUUUCGUGGUCCGGAAUUCAAGACUUUUACUUGAGGAAAUUCGAGUGUUCACAGCAGGCAAUCGCCCUGAAGAUAUUAGCAUGGAAUAAUAAUAUAGGACCUUGGUUCUAUUUUGUUGGUUUCUAGGACUGAGGUAAUGAUUAAUAGGGAUAUUUGGGGGCAUUCGUACUAACCGGUCAGAGGUGGAAUUCUUGGAUUCGGUUAUGACGAACGACU